rnacentral:rRNA from 1 species
CAGGUGCUGCAUGGCUGUCGUCAGCUCGUGUUGUGAAAUGUUGGGUUAAGUCCCGCAACGAGCGCAACCCUUAUCCUUUGUUGCCAGCGAUUAGGUCGGGAACUCAAAGGAGACUGCCAGUGAUAAACUGGAGGAAGGUGGGGAUGACGUCAAGUCAUCAUGGCCCUUACGACCAGGGCUACACACGUGCUACAAUGGCGCAUACAAAGAGAAGCGACCUCGCGAGAGCAAGCGGACCUCAUAAAGUGCGUCGUAGUCCGGAUUGGAGUCUGCAACUCGACUCCAUGAAGUCGGAAUCGCUAGUAAUCGUGGAUCAGAAUGCCACGGUGAAUACGUUCCCGGGCCUUGUACACACCGCCCGUCACACCAUGGGAGUGGGUUGCAAAAGAAGUAGGUAGCUUAACCUUCGGGAGGGCGCUUACCACUUUGUGAUUCAUGACUGGGGUGAAGUCGUAACAAGGUAACCGUAGGGGAACCUGCGGUUGG